AUUGAACGCUGGCGGCAGGCCUAACACAUGCAAGUCGAACGAGUGGCGGACGGGUGAGUCAUGUAUGGGAAACUGCCUGGUGGAGGGGGAUAACUACUGGAAACGGUAGCUAAUACCGCCUACCAUAAGAUGUGACCAGAUGGGAUUAGCUAGUUGGUGGGGUAACGGCCAACCAAGGCGACGAUCCCUAGCUGGUCUGAGAGGAUGACCAGCCACACUGGAACUGAGACACGGUCCAGACUCCGACGGGAGGCAGCAGUGGGGAAUAUUGGACAAUGGGCGCAAGCCUGAUGCAGCCAUGCCGCGUGUAUGAAGAAGGCCUUCGGGUUGUAAAGUACUUUCAGCGGGGAGGCGUUACCCGCAGAAUAAGCACCGGCUAACUCCGUGCCAGCAGCCGCGGUAAUAC
rnacentral:rRNA from 1 species